UCGACGGAGGAUGUACGGUGAAGAGAUUUCGGUCAAUCAUGUGCAUCUUUAGUGGCGGACGGGUGAGUAACGCGUGGGUAACCUGCCUUACACAGGGGGAUAACACUUAGAAAUAGGUGCUAAUACCGCAUGAGCGCACAGGACCGCAUGGUCGAGUGUGAAAAACUGAGGUGGUGUAAGAUGGACCCGCGUCUGAUUAGCUGGUUGGUGAGGUAACGGCCCACCAAGGCGACGAUCAGUAGCCGGCCUGAGAGGGUGGACGGCCACAUUGGGACUGAGACACGGCCCAAACUCCUACGGGAGGCAGCAGUGGGGGAUAUUGGACAAUGGGGGGAACCCUGAUCCAGCGACGCCGCGUGAGUGAAGAAGUAUCUCGGUAUGUAAAGCUCUAUCAGCAGGGAAGAAGAAAUGACGGUACCUGAGUAAGAAGCCCCGGCUAACUACGUGCCAGCAGCCGCGGUAAUACGUAGGGGGCAAGCGUUAUCCGGAAUUACUGGGUGUAAAGGGAGCGUAGACGGUGAUGUAAGUCUGGAGUGAAAGGCGGGGGCCCAACCCCCGGACUGCUCUGGAAACUAUGUGACUGGAGUGCAGGAGAGGUGAGCGGAAUUCCUAGUGUAGCGGUGAAAUGCGUAGAUAUUAGGAGGAACACCAGUGGCGAAGGCGGCUCACUGGACUGUAACUGACGUUGAGGCUCGAAAGCGUGGGGAGCAAACAGGAUUAGAUACCCUGGUAGUCCACGCCGUAAACGAUGAUCACUAGGUGUGGGUGGGUAU
rnacentral:rRNA from 1 species